rnacentral:rRNA from 1 species
GACGAACGCUGGCGGCGUGCUUAACACAUGCAAGUCGAACGGUAAGGCUCCAGCUUGCUGGGGUACACGAGUGGCGAACGGGUGAGUAACACGUGGGUGACCUGCCCUGCACUUCGGGAUAAGCCUGGGAAACUGGGUCUAAUACCGGAUAGGACCGCACCGUGAGGGUGUGGUGGAAAGUUUUUUCGGUGUGGGAUGGGCCCGCGGCCUAUCAGCUUGUUGGUGGGGUAAUGGCCUACCAAGGCGGCGACGGGUAGCCGGCCUGAGAGGGUGGACGGCCACAUUGGGACUGAGACACGGCCCAGACUCCUACGGGAGGCAGCAGUGGGGAAUAUUGCACAAUGGGCGGAAGCCUGAUGCAGCGACGCCGCGUGGGGGAUGACGGCCUUCGGGUUGUAAACUCCUUUCACCAUCGACGAAGGGUUUCUGACGGUAGAUGGAGAAGAAGCACCGGCUAACUACGUGCCAGCAGCCGCGGUAAUACGUAGGGUGCGAGCGUUAUCCGGAAUUACUGGGCGUAAAGAGCUCGUAGGUGGUUUGUCGCGUCGUCUGUGAAAUUCCGGGGCUUAACUCCGGGCGUGCAGGCGAUACGGGCAUAACUUGAGUACUGUAGGGGAGACUGGAAUUCCUGGUGUAGCGGUGAAAUGCGCAGAUAUCAGGAGGAACACCGGUGGCGAAGGCGGGUCUCUGGGCAGUAACUGACGCUGAGGAGCGAAAGCAUGGGGAGCGAACAGGAUUAGAUACCCUGGUAGUCCAUGCCGUAAACGGUGGGCGCUAGGUGUGGGUUUCCUUCCACGGGAUCCGUGCCGUAGCUAACGCAUUAAGCGCCCCGCCUGGGGAGUACGGCCGCAAGGCUAAAACUCAAAGGAAUUGACGGGGGCCCGCACAAGCGGCGGAGCAUGUGGAUUAAUUCGAUGCAACGCGAAGAACCUUACCUGGGCUUGACAUAUACAGGAUCGCGCCAGAGAUGGUGUUUCCCUUGUGGCUUGUAUACAGGUGGUGCAUGGUUGUCGUCAGCUCGUGUCGUGAGAUGUUGGGUUAAGUCCCGCAACGAGCGCAACCCUUGUCUUAUGUUGCCAGCACGUUGUGGUGGGGACUCGUAAGAAACUGCCGGGGUUAACUCGGAGGAAGGUGGGGAUGACGUCAAAUCAUCAUGCCCCUUAUGUCCAGGGCUUCACACAUGCUACAAUGGUCGGUACAGUGGGUUGCCAGUCCGUGAGGGCGAGCUAAUCCCGCAAAGCCGGUCUCAGUUCGGAUCGGGGUCUGCAACUCGACCCCGUGAAGUCGGAGUCGCUAGUAAUCGCAGAUCAGCAACGCUGCGGUGAAUACGUUCCCGGGCCU